AUUGAACGCUGGCGGCAGGCCUAACACAUGCAAGUCGAGCGAGCGGCGGACGGGAGAGUAAUGUAUGGGGACUGCCCGAUAGAGGGGGAUAACUACGGGAAACGGUGGCUAAUAACGAAUAAUAUCGGAUAACCCAACUGGGAUUAGCUAGUGGGUGGGGUAAAGGCUCACCAAGGCGACGAUCUCUAUCUGGUCUGAGAGGAUGAUCAGCCACACUGGGACUGAGACACGGCCCAGACUCCUACGGAGUCAGCAGUGGGGAAUAUUGCACAAUGGGCGCAAGCCUGAUGCAGCCAUGCCGCGUGUAUGAAGAAGGCCUUAGGGUUGUAAAGUACUUUCAGCGGGGCGGCGUUACCCGCAGAAGAAGCACCGGCUAACUCCGUGCCAGCAGCCGCGGUAAUUC
rnacentral:rRNA from 1 species